UAACUAGUGGGUCGACCCAACUGGGUUCGUAGCUGACCUCCAUCACAGACUGUGAUUCUUCCAUGCUUGGGUGCUUCAGAACCUCGAAGAAGAUUUCCUUAGGCAGUUCGAUCGGAGCCAGUGUAGCCAACUUGGAGAGAAGGUCGGCCCUGGCAUUUUUUGAUCUCGGGAUCUGCUUGAUGUCGAAGCUGCCGAAGGU
rnacentral:lncRNA from 1 species